rnacentral:misc_RNA from 1 species
UCUCCGUAGGUGAACCUGCGGAGGGAUCAUUACAGAGUUCUCGCCCUCGCGGGUAGAUCUCCCACCCACUGUUAUCGUUACUGUGUUGCUUUGGCGGGCCGCCGGGCCCCGCUCGGCCGCCGGCUCCGGCUGGCGCGCGCCCGCCAGAGGCCCAGCAAACUCUGAAUGUUAGUGUGGUCUGAGUACUAUAUAAUAGUUAAAACUUUCAACAACGGAUCUCUUGGUUCUG